GCGUUGCUCGGAAUUACUGGGCGUAAAGGGCGCGUAGGCGGAUCGUUAAGUCAGAGGUGAAAUCCCAGGGCUCAACCCUGGAACUGCCUUUGAUACUGGCGGUCUUGAGUAUGAGAGAGGUAUGUGGAACUCCGUGUGUAGAGGUGAAAUUCGUAGAUAUUCGGAAAAACACCAGUGGCGAAGGCGACAUACUGGCCCAUUACUGACGCUGAGGCGCGAAAGCGUG
rnacentral:rRNA from 1 species